rnacentral:rRNA from 1 species
CCUACGUGCGGCAGCAGUGAGGAAUAUUGGUCAAUGGGCGGAAGCCUGAACCAGCCAAGUAGCGUGCGGGAUGAAGGCCCUACGGGUCGUAAACCGCUUUUGCACGGGGAUAACACCCUCCACUUGUGGCGGUCUGCAGGUACCGUGCGAAUAAGGGCCGGCUAAUUCCGUGCCAGCAGCCACGGUCAUACGGAAGGCCCGAGCGUUAUCCGGAUUCAUUGGGCUUAAAGGGAGCGUAGGCGGGCGUUCAAGUCAGCUGUAAAAUCGCGCGGCUCAACCGCGCCCCGCAGUUGAAACUGGACGCCUUGAGUUCACAACAGGCAGGCGGAAUUCGUGGUGUAGCGGUGAAAUGCAUAGAUAUCACGAGGAACCCCGAUUGCGAAGGCAGCCUGCCGGGGUGCGACUGACGCUGAGGCUCGAAGGUGCGGGUAUCAAACAGGAUUAGAUACCCGUGUAGUC